rnacentral:rRNA from 1 species
UACAGAGGGGGCAAGCGUUGUUCGGAAUUACUGGGCGUAAAGGGCGCGUAGGCGGCCUGCUAAGUCGAACGUGAAAUCCCCGAGCUCAACUCGGGAACUGCGUCCGAUACUGGCAGGCUUGAAUCCGGGAGAGGGAUGCGGAAUUCCAGGUGUAGCGGUGAAAUGCGUAGAUAUCUGGAGGAACACCGGUGGCGAAGGCGGCAUCCUGGACCGGCAUUGACGCUGAGGCGCGAAAGCUGGGGGAGCAAACGGG